AGUCGCAGAGAACUAGCUAUAGACGGUUUCAUGACUGCGAUAGUAGCAGCACGUGUUGUACCCCAAGAAACUUCCGGCUCUUCAUUUCAACACCGAAGCGGAAAGCG
rnacentral:lncRNA from 1 species